rnacentral:rRNA from 1 species
UACCCAUAUGCUAGCUCACACACUAAAUUCAAAUAAAAACUAAAAAUAACCCCUAACACCCUAAAAAAUAAUACUAAAACAUUUUAUAACCCUAGUAAGGGAGACUGAAAAGGAAUAUGGAGCUACAAAACUAGUACCGUAAGGGAAAGCUGAAAAAGAAGUUAAACAAAUAACUUAAGUAGAUAAUAGCAAAGAUUAAAUCUUGUACCUUUUGCAUCAUGGUUUAACAAGAUACCUCAAGCAAAGAGAUCUUUAGUUUGUUAUCCCGAAACUAGGCGAGCUACUCCGAGACAGUCAAAAUAUAAUGGACAAACCCAUACCUGUGGCAAAAGGUUGGGAUGAACUCCGAGUAGAGGUGAUAAGCCAAACGAGCUUGGUAAUAGCUGGUUGCCUGAAAAAUGAAUAAAAGUUCAGCCUAUAUUAUAUCCUAAAUUCACCUAAAUUAAAAAUAAAUAAAUUGAGCUAUGAUAAUAUAGAGUUAGUCAAAAGGGGUACAGCUCUUUUGACAUAGGACACAACCUUAUAAUGAGGUUAAAGAUCAAAAACAACAAAGUACAUGCAUGCCUUAGUGGGCCUGAAAGCAGCCACCAAAAUAGAAAGCGUUAAAGCUCAAGCACUAAUUAUACUUUUAAUUCAGAUAAACAUUCUAAAACCCAUAAACCCAUCAGGCCUUUUCAUAAUACAUGAAAGUGACAAUGUUAAUAUGAGUAAUAAGAGAAGUCAAAGAUUCUCUCCUUUAACAAAAGUGUGCCUCGGAUCGAACUAACACCGAAAUUUAAUGAUCCCUUAUUACCGGAGGGUAAUGUUGUAAAAACAAAUAACAAGAAAAAACAACAAUAAAAAUCAUCAACCCCACACUGGAUUGCUAACCAGGAUAAACUAAAAGGGUGAGAAGGAACUCGGCAAACAUAAAAAUACUAGCCUCGCCUGUUUACCAAAAACAUCGCCUCUUGCAUAACAUAAUGAAUAAGAGGUCCCGCCUGCCCUGUGACUAUAUGUUUAACGGCCGCGGUAUUUUGACCGUGCAAAGGUAGCGCAAUCACUUGUCUUUUAAAUAAAGACCUGUAUGAAUGGCAUAACGAGGGCUAAACUGUCUCCUCACCCCAGUUAAUGAAAUUGAUCUUCCCGUGCAGAAGCGGGAAUUAACACAUAAGACGAGAAGACCCUGUGGAGCUUUAGAUAACUAGAUGAAUUUAUUAAACAACAUAAACCAUAUAAAAGGUAAUUAAAACAAUAACCUCAUCUUAAAUCUUUAGUUGGGGCGACCGCGGAGCAAAACAAAACCUCCGUGAGGAUUGAGGUAAAAACCUUAUACCCAAGAAUGUCAUUUCUAAGUACCAAAAUAUUUGACCUAUUAGAUCCGGCAACAGCCGAUCAACGGACCUAGUUACCCCAGGGAUAACAGCGCAAUCCUCUUUGAGAGUCCCUAUCGACAAGAGGGUUUACGACCUCGAUGUUGGAUCAGGACAUCCUAAUGGUGUAGCCGCUAUUAAGGGUUCGUUUGUUCAACGAUUAAAGUCCUACGUGAUCUGAGUUCAGACCGGAGUAAUCCAGGUCAGUUUCUAUCUAUGUAUGUGGCCUUCUUUAGUACGAAAGGACCAAGAAGGAUAGGCCCAUGUUUUAAAACAAGCCUACUUUUUAACCCUUGAAAGAAUAUUAAAGGUUAAAACAACACAAGACUCUUUAGAAUAUAACUAAAU